rnacentral:rRNA from 1 species
AUUGAACGCUGGCGGCAGGCCUAACAUAUGCAAGCCGAGCGGAUGAAGGGAGCUUGCUCCUGGAUUCAGCGGCGGACGGGUGAGUAAUGCCUAGGAAUCUGCCUGGUAGUGGGGGAUAACGUCCGGAAACGGGCGCUAAUACCGCAUACGUCCUGUGGGAGAAAGAGGGGGAUCUUCGGACCUCACGCUAUCAGAUGAGCCUAGGUCGGAUUAGCUAGUUGGUGGGGUAAAGGCCUACCAAGGCGACGAUCCGUAACUGGUCUGAGAGGAUGAUCAGUCACACUGGAACUGAGACACGGUCCAGACUCCUACGGGAGGCAGCAGUGGGGAAUAUUGGACAAUGGGCGAAAGCCUGAUCCAGCCAUGCCGCGUGUGUGAAGAAGGUCUUCGGAUUGUAAAGCACUUUAAGUUGGGAGGAAGGGCAGUAAGUUAAUACCUUGCUGUUUUGACGUUACCAACAGAAUAAGCACCGGCUAACUUCGUG